GAAGAGGGACGCUGGCCCAGCGCAAGGGCUUUCCACAGCCCGAGGGGAGCUCCAGGUCCCCCCCCCCCAGGUCCUGUCUCACGGACAGCACUAAGUUUAAAACGCCGCUCCCUAUCCUGGAGGCUGGUGGAGCCCCACAGAGCAGCUCCUCGAAGAAUUGGGAGGAAGCUCCUGGACGUCCAGCCUUUUGCAGCAAAGACCUCCCCAGCCAGUUGGGCUGUGGACAGACAUCAGGGUGGAUUCACCCGCUCAGAUCAUCGCGAGCAGCCGUUGUGUGCCGGGCUCUGUUCUGGGUCCCUGACCUCUUGUCCUGCGCCAUCAGAAACCAGGGCAGCGUGGGUGGGGUGGGGGCUGAGGCCCUUGUGGGCGGGUGGUGUCCACUCACCAGCACCAUCCCUGCAUGCAGGCAGCCACCCUCCAGGGCAGGUAGGACCUAGAGAGGCAGGCGGGAAGGCCAGGGGUGUCCUGGAUCAUGGGCACCAGGGUGCAGGGGCCCCCAGCGGGGUGCUCACCAGGAGAUGUUGUUGGUUACAACUCCAAUCUGGGCAAAAGAGGAAUGUUCUGGAAGGAUCUGAGUCAGCCCUGAGGAAUUGGGCUGCAUCUUGCCACAGCCCCUACUCCAACCGGUGGUCAUAUGACCCCGUGGCCACUGCCUACCUGCGCCCGACACACACCGUGGGGCCCCCCGGCUGCAGGAUUCCACUACCACCUCCAUCCAGAAUGGCUCCUAGCCCGGUCCUGAGGCUUUCAUCACAUCUGGAGUUAGGGGGCCUGGCUGGGUCUCUGAUUGGCAGAGCCGGGGCACCUGCUGUCCCUGCUCCUGUAGGAGGAUGGGGUGGGCGCCCGGCAGCUAAAAUCCAGCCAAGGCCCCCCCUCGGGUCCAGAUGCCCAGACACGGCCCUCACCCCUGCCACAGCGCCCAGCCUCCUCCCUCCGCAGAGAGGGUCCCCACGGCCCCUUCCAGCGCCCCCCCAGCCCCGACGCCGCCAGCGGGCGGUGGACGUGGCUGUGCUCAGAGCUUUCCAGGAAGAAGCAGGCAGGUGCAGGUGA
rnacentral:lncRNA from 12 species